UCAAGAGGAAGAGGAGGAAGCCUCAUAUGCCACAUCGCCAUAAUAUCCACACGCAGACCGAAAUUUUGGUACUGAGAACUGAUGUAGUUUGUUGAGGAAAGCAUUUGCUCAUAAAGGAUUUGCUCAUAAGAUUAUUCCAAUCGUCCAAAGUCCUGAACGCGUUAUUCCGUCGUAAGCAAAGCAAGAUAACAAAGCAGUGCCUCUUAACUACCGUUUAUAAGGAGAUUGGACGCACUCCCAGCAAACACAUCAGAUUCGUGUUCGCCAGCGCCAGCACCCAUGUCAACGUUGUCUUGCGUGCCGAAGUUUGUCCUACAGUCAACUUGAAGGGUUGAUAGUUGGUUUGAUUUGAAAUGUAAAGUUUGCUUGAAUUUGUAAUAUUCAGCAUCAAUACGUGUAUGAAAUAAAAUGCAGCGUGUAACUAGUGUUUUGUUCAUGAAACUUCAUAAAAUGGGCUAAAUCCAAGCGUCAAUCCCGCAAGUCGCUGGUUUAUCAUUAUACAUGUGUUAACAAGUUGUUGUACAGCACACU